CCCAAACCAUCAUAUUC
rnacentral:sRNA from 1 species